AGGCUGCGGUCGGCGGUGAAGAGGAAGAUCAGGUGGCGCUGGCGCGCGUCCACGCGCUUGCUGAUGGUGCACGCGCCCGUCAGGCUCACGCUGAGCUUGGGAGCCGCUCGGCCGGCGUGGAACUUCUUCUCGCUCUCGUAACACUCGAGGCGCGGCGGGUCCGCGCGGAGCACGAAGAAGCGGCGGUGCUGGGACUUGUGCUUCCGAAGGUGGCCGCAGAGCCGCACGUCAGCCGGGCAGGCCCAGGGCGACAGCGGACCCAGGGCCACGUCGGCCGACUCAGACUCCGGGGCCGUCGUGGGGCUGCCGCCGCCGCCGCCUCUGGGCUUCAUCCUGGGCCAAAGGCGACCAAGUGGCCGGAGCAGGAGCGGAGACGGCUGGGAAGAGGCUCGCCGAGGUGGGGUUCUAGAGGUAGCGGUCCCGGGGGAGGGGGCAGCGUCCUGACAGGCUGCCACUGCCUUAAUGCCCGGCGUCUCUCUCCCCCGCUCCCGACUUGAAGUUUGGGGCAGGGGGUCUGCAGUGGCCCCUCGCUGCGCGCAGCGUGUGACCCAGUGACUGCUCGACGGCCUGAGACACCCGAGGCUCCGCCGGGCUCGGAGCCUCAACCCAGUGGCCUCCCGCCGCCUCCUCUCCCCUCCCUCCCAACGCCGACUGCGCCCAAGUCCCCACCCCCGCGAGGUUAACCCUCACGCGCCCCGGAGCUGGACUCCGCGCGGUGGGCGUGGAGUUUGAGUUGCCGAGUGCGGGAGAGGCGGCCUCGGCCUGGGCUGGUGCCGGGGCGGGGAGGUGUUGGGGGCGUCUCUUCUGACCCGACCUGAGCGCGGAGAAAGCUGUGAGGUGAAGAGAGUGUGCGUGGAGCUACGUCCGUGGUGACCGCUGGCGGCCUCGUCCGCAGUCCUGGAGCCACACCUGCCACCUAUGAAGGUUCCUGGGACAGGAAUCAAAUCCGAGCCUCAGCUGCGACCCGUGCCAUAGCAGGAACGCCCUACACCCGCCUCUGAUCCUUCCAAGGACCACCUGCUGACGGCGGGGGCCAUGGCGCUGGUCAGUGUACACUCUGCAAGACAAACCACGGGUUGACAGGUUCCACUGUGGAGAGAAUGGAGAGCUUGACAGAGGUCCUGGGGACCAGCUCCUGCUUCUUCAUCCACAGAGGCAGCUGUUGGGGACCCGCUGAAGGCUGGGCUCAAAUCAGAAGACUGUUGCCUGCGGGGCCGGGGAUUUUUCCAUCCUUGCUGCCUGCCUGGAGGAAGGGUGCCCAGAGGCUGCUGCAGUCCUGGUGUCAGCCUAUUCCCUAGGGAACUCUUGCUUUGUCUGCCCUGGAGUCGGAGGCUGACCCAGCGUAACUUCAACUUCGCUGCCCGAUCACCCUGCCCUGGCCAGUGAGCUGGCUGGGGUCCAUGCUCUUCAAGGUCACUGAGUGGAGAGACCCAGGGAAAUCCCAAGAAGGGACGGCAGAGGGGCCAGACGGUGACGGUGGAAAGGGAGCUGCUUGAGGCAGCAGGGCGAAACUGGGCCUCUUCGCCAGAGUCUCCGAUUUCCUUCUGGGUGGCUACACGAGACUCACCUCCAAAGGCAAGCCCUGUGCUGCUGCCUCCACCAGUGGGGGCUGACUGAAGCGUGGGGACCUGGCUGGCUAUCCCGAAGACGCUGCCAUACAAGGAGAGAAGUCAGCAUGCACGUCAUCCAGCACCAAGGGGGUCAGGCUGCUGUGUGUGUCCAGACCCCGGGUUAAGGGGUCUUCCCUGUGCUGGGUGCUGAGCUGAGCGCUCCUGACCGGCCCCGGCUCUGACUUGGAGAACCCAAGAUACGGGCGGGGAUGACAGACGCCAGGGCCCGCCGGCCGAGAGGUUCCAGAGGUGGGCUGCUUUUUGAGGGAGGGCCAGCGCUCAGAAGACGGAGCUCUCCUUGGCUGCUCUCCUCCUGUCCCCUGGCUUCCCAGAGGAACAGUGCGGGACUUCACCCCUCUCCGGUCCACAGGCCUCGAGGAAGCCGGGAAAACCUGAGACCUUGUGCUGGAUCUUCUGCUUCUCAGACCCCACCCUUGCCUUUGCCUGCCUGACUCGAGGUACGAGGAAUUUCCAGGGGGAUGCAGCUCCCUGUCCUCACUUAGGCCUGACUCUUCAGUCCUGCUCUGGGCCCUGGGGUCAGGGCGCGCCCAUGGGUGUAGAGCAGCUCCUGGGCCCUCCAGGCCCGCAGAGCUGUGCCGCCUGGUGGACACUAGAGGGCAGAGGCGGGCCUUGCUCCCCGGGCGGGCGCCCUGCACAGAGGGCCGUUCUCAGAAAGGAGGCCAAGGCUGGGAGGACCCGGGAGCAGCCGUGCUCCUGAUGGCUUCUUAGCCACUUCCAGAGCCUCACUUCCCACAGCUGGAUUUGUGGACUGAGCUUCUAAGAGUUUCAGGAAAACUGCACUUUUAGAAACCUCCCCUUCUCCCUACUCCCCCUCAGAUAUAAAAAUACAGCUGGGCUUGUCAGAGAGACACCCGCCUCUCACUCAGAUCUUCCUACUUUGUACCCAGUGGUUCUUCGUGGCACACGCACAGGGACACCCCUGUGAUCACGGUGUGCUGGGAAGUGAAUGGCAUCCGCCACUGAUCUGACACCUGGGUUUUGGCCAAGUCACUGGCCAAGCGGAGCCAGUGUCCUCAGCUACAAAAUGGGGAACUUUCUUUCCUCAGGGAGCUACUACGGGGGCGUCCUUGCACACCAUCGGGGUGCUGGGGGGCUCUGCGUCCAGUGCGGGCUGACACUGGACAGAAGGUUCAGCCCAGGACAGCUCCGGGGCGGAGGCCUCCCUUCUCUCCUCGGCGCGCGCUCUGAUGAGUCGCGCGAGGAAAGCAGCUCUAAAUGCGGCCGUUCCUAACCACCUUGGCCCCAUUCCCGGGACCACCGCUCUCUCUCGCUCAACUCAGCAUUCCCGUAGUCGUUUACACCCUUACCAACAGCACACACAAGGCCUAUUUCCCCACCCAAUACUGGCCAUUAUAAAUCUUUAAAACUUGUGUGACUAUAAUGUGCCACAUUAUUAUCUUAAUUUGCGUUUUCUCUGAUGAGUUAGGUUGAGGUCAUUUUCAAUUUGUGAUUUUAUUUCCCUUUGGGGUAGAAUUUACUUCUAACCCUUGUCCAUUAUUCUAAUCUCUCUUAUUCAGAGGACUUUAAAAAGGCAUCUAUAAAGGGUGGGGAAAAAAAUGUAUACAUGUAAGAGUAACUUGAUCCCCAUGCUGUAGGGUGGGAAAAAAUAAAAAAAUAAAAUAAAAAGGCAUCUAUGUUAAGGUUACUAACUUUUUGUUUGUUUUCCACAUUGUAAGUAUGUAUCUUCUCCUUAGAUGCUUCAGGUCUUUAAGGACAUGAAAUAUUGUUUUAGGAAAUUUUUUUUUGCUUUCUAGGGCUGCACCUGCAGCAUGUGGAGGUUCC